AGUGGGCAAAAUGGUAGCAGCUGGCAGCUUCUGCUUCAGAUAAAUAGAUCUCAGCAGUAACAACCUGAAUUUGCCUGUCUCUCCAGACUUCAGAUCUGCUUGUUUGCCCUGCAACCUCAGUUCUUUGAUGGAUCCAAGAAAAGGCCUUGAUUUUUGGCUUAAGAUUUUUCUUAUUGUAAGAAGAGAAGUGAUGACUUCUAAGCUGUUUACACUGAGGGCCUAAAACCAGAGAAGGCCUGCUAAGAUGGAAGCAGAAGAGAGCAAGCUAGCUCUCAGGGACUGGGGUGGAAAUGAGUGCUCUGCAAGAACUUCAGAGUGUUCAGCCUUCCAAAGUCUGUGAAUGCAUUCUAAGAGUGGCUGUGGCUUGGCUUCUUAAGUAUAAAGGGCAUGUUGUCAUACUUGCUAUGAUCACAAAAGUGAAGCGAUCCAAUUGCUUUUCCAAGUGCUUCCAAGGGGCUGGCCCCGUGGCCGAGUGGUUAAGUUCGCGUGCUCUGCUGCAGGCGGCCCAGUGUUUCGUUGGUUCGAAUCCUGG
rnacentral:lncRNA from 1 species